CAGCAGCCACGGGAAUAUGAAGGUCCCGAGCGUUGUUCGGAAUCACUGGGCGUAAAGGGAGCGUAGGCGGCGUGGUAAGUCAGAUGUGAAAUCCCGGGGCUCAACCCCGGAACUGCAUCCGAUACUGCCAUGCUAGAGGAUUGGAGAGGUAGCUGGAAUUCUUGGUGUAGCAGUGAAAUGCGUGGAGAUCAAGAGGAACACUCGUGGCGAAAGCGAGCUACUGGACAAUAACUGACGCUGAGGCUCGAAGGCCAGGGUAGCGAAAGGGAUUAGAUACCCCGGUAGUCCCUGUCUCUUAUAC
rnacentral:rRNA from 1 species